rnacentral:rRNA from 1 species
CCUACGGGGGGCAGCAGUGGGGAAUAUUGCACAAUGGGGGAAACCCUGAUGCAGCGACGCCGCGUGAGUGAAGAAGUAAUUCGGUAUGUAAAGCUCUAUCAGCAGGGAAGAAAAUGACGGUACCUGAGGAAGAAGCCACGGCUAACUACGUGCCAGCAGCCGCGGUAAUACGUAGGGGGCAAGCGUUAUCCGGAGUGACUGGGGGUAAAGGGAGCGUAGACGGCAGUGCAAGUCUGGAGUGAAAGGCGGGGGCUCAACCCCCGGACUGCUCUGGAAACGGUACGGCGGGAGUGCAGGAGAGGUCAGUGGAAUUCCUCGUGUCGCGGUGAAAUUCUUCGAUAUUAGGCGGAACCCCAGUGGCGAAGGCGGCUUACUGGACUGUACCUGCCGUUGAGGCUCGAACGCGUGGGGAGCAAACAGGAUUAGAUACCCUUGUAGUC